rnacentral:rRNA from 1 species
ACGCUGGCGGCAGGCUUAACACAUGCAAGUCGAACGGUAACAGGAAUUAGCUUGCUAAUUUGCUGACGAGUGGCGGACGGGUGAGUAAUGCUUGGGAAUCUGGCUUAUGGAGGGGGAUAACUACGGGAAACUGUAGCUAAUACCGCGUAAAAUCUUCGGAUUAAAGGGUGGGACUUUCGAGCCACCUGCCAUAAGAUGAGCCCAAGUGGGAUUAGGUAGUUGGUUAGGUAAAGGCUGACCAAGCCGACGAUCUCUAGCUGGUCUGAGAGGAUGACCAGCCACACUGGAACUGAGACACGGUCCAGACUCCUACGGGAGGCAGCAGUGGGGAAUAUUGCACAAUGGGGGGAACCCUGAUGCAGCCAUGCCGCGUGAAUGAAGAAGGCCCUCGGGUUGUAAAGUUCUUUCGGUGACGAGGAAGGUUGAUAGGUUAAUAGCCUAUCAAAUUGACGUUAAUCACAGAAGAAGCACCGGCUAACUCCGUGCCAGCAGCCGCGGUAAUACGGGGGGUGCGAGCGUUAAUCGGAAUAACUGGGCGUAAAGGGCACGCAGGCGGUGACUUAAGUGAGAUGUGAAAGCCCCGAGCUUAACUUGGGAAUUGCAUUUCAUACUGGGUCGCUAGAGUACUUUAGGGAGGGGUAGAAUUCCACGUGUAGCGGUGAAAUGCGUAGAGAUGUGGAGGAAUACCGAAGGCGAAGGCAGCCCCUUGGGAAUGUACUGACGCUCAUGUGCGAAAGCGUGGGGAGCAAACAGGAUUAGAUACCCUGGUAGUCCACGCUGUAAACGAUGUCGAUUUGGGGAUUGGGCUUUGAGCUUGGUGCCCGUAGCUAACGUGAUAAAUCGACCGCCUGGGGAGUACGGCCGCAAGGUUAAAACUCAAAUGAAUUGACGGGGGCCCGCACAAGCGGUG